rnacentral:rRNA from 1 species
ACGAACGCUGGCGGCGUGCCUAAUACAUGCAAGUCGAACGCUUCUUUCCUCCCGAGUGCUUGCACUCAAUUGGAAAGAGGAGUGGCGGACGGGUGAGUAACACGUGGGUAACCUACCCAUCAGAGGGGGAUAACACUUGGAAACAGGUGCUAAUACCGCAUAACAGUUUAUGCCGCAUGGCAUAAGAGUGAAAGGCGCUUUCGGGUGUCGCUGAUGGAUGGACCCGCGGUGCAUUAGCUAGUUGGUGAGGUAACGGCUCACCAAGGCCACGAUGCAUAGCCGACCUGAGAGGGUGAUCGGCCACACUGGGACUGAGACACGGCCCAGACUCCUACGGGAGGCAGCAGUAGGGAAUCUUCGGCAAUGGACGAAAGUCUGACCGAGCAACGCCGCGUGAGUGAAGAAGGUUUUCGGAUCGUAAAACUCUGUUGUUAGAGAAGAACAAGGACGUUAGUAACUGAACGUCCCCUGACGGUAUCUAACCAGAAAGCCACGGCUAACUACGUGCCAGCAGCCGCGGUAAUACGUAGGUGGCAAGCGUUGUCCGGAUUUAUUGGGCGUAAAGCGAGCGCAGGCGGUUUCUUAAGUCUGAUGUGAAAGCCCCCGGCUCAACCGGGGAGGGUCAUUGGAAACUGGGAGACUUGAGUGCAGAAGAGGAGAGUGGAAUUCCAUGUGUAGCGGUGAAAUGCGUAGAUAUAUGGAGGAACACCAGUGGCGAAGGCGGCUCUCUGGUCUGUAACUGACGCUGAGGCUCGAAAGCGUGGGGAGCAAACAGGAUUAGAUACCCUGGUAGUCCACGCCGUAAACGAUGAGUGCUAAGUGUUGGAGGGUUUCCGCCCUUCAGUGCUGCAGCAAACGCAUUAAGCACUCCGCCUGGGGAGUACGACCGCAAGGUUGAAACUCAAAGGAAUUGACGGGGGCCCGCACAAGCGGUGGAGCAUGUGGUUUAAUUCGAAGCAACGCGAAGAACCUUACCAGGUCUUGACAUCCUUUGACCACUCUAGAGAUAGAGCUUUCCCUUCGGGGACAAAGUGACAGGUGGUGCAUGGUUGUCGUCAGCUCGUGUCGUGAGAUGUUGGGUUAAGUCCCGCAACGAGCGCAACCCUUAUUGUUAGUUGCCAUCAUUUAGUUGGGCACUCUAGCGAGACUGCCGGUGACAAACCGGAGGAAGGUGGGGAUGACGUCAAAUCAUCAUGCCCCUUAUGACCUGGGCUACACACGUGCUACAAUGGGAAGUACAACGAGUCGCUAGACCGCGAGGUCAUGCAAAUCUCUUAAAGCUUCUCUCAGUUCGGAUUGCAGGCUGCAACUCGCCUGCAUGAAGCCGGAAUCGCUAGUAAUCGCGGAUCAGCACGCCGCGGUGAAUACGUUUCCGGGCCUUGUACACACCGCCCGUCACACCACGAGAGUUUGUAACACCCGAAGUCGGUGAGGUAACCUUUUUGGAGCCAGCCGCCUAAGGUGGGAUAGAUGAUUGGGGUG